GAAAAAAGUAUUAUUUCCAGGGUACCAUGGAUCUGAGAGAAAUAUAUCAUUAAUGGCUGGGUAUUAGUUAUGUUGAGUGUUCCUCUAUGACUGCCAUGACAACAGGCCUUGAGUAACCUGCUGGAAGUCGGGAUAGGAGGGACUGAGACAUGUUAUCCCAGUUGUCCUAAAUGAGACCAUUUUAAAUCAUCCAACAGGUAUUUGGGUGAUUUGCAAGACUUCCUUGGAGGGUCAGCUCAGAGGAAACUUUGUUUAUCUGAACUGUUCUAUUGAUGAGGAAACUGAGUCCUGAUGAGAUGUAUCCAAUCAAAGAUGAUGCAGGAGCUGGCCCCUUUAGCUUGAUGCUUUCACAUUAAAAAAA